rnacentral:rRNA from 1 species
ACCAGCAGCCAUAUCACUCUGCAACUCACAACUGGCAACCCACUGGAGCUCAGCAGGUGUGAGCCUGGUCAGUACCUGGAUGGGAGACCUCCUAGGAAAAACUAAGGUUGCUGCUGGAA